rnacentral:rRNA from 1 species
GAUGAACGCUGACAGAAUGCUUAACACAUGCAAGUCAACUUGGACUUCGGUUUGGGUGGCGGACGGGUGAGUAACGCGUAAAGAACUUGCCUCACAGAUAGGGACAACAUUUGGAAACGAAUGCUAAUACCUGAUAUUAUGAUUUUAGGGCAUCCUAGAAUUAUGAAAGCUAUAUGCGCUGUGAGAGAGCUUUGCGUCCCAUUAGCUAGUUGGAGAGGUAACGGCUCACCAAGGCGAUGAUGGGUAGCCGGCCUGAGAGGGUGAUCGGCCACAAGGGGACUGAGACACGGCCCUUACUCCUACGGGAGGCAGCAGUGGGGAAUAUUGGACAAUGGACCAAGAGUCUGAUCCAGCAAUUCUGUGUGCACGAUGAAGUUUUUCGGAAUGUAAAGUGCUUUCAGUUGGGAAGAAAAAAAUGACGGUACCAACAGAAGAAGUGACGGCUAAAUACGUGCCAGCAGCCGCGGUAAUACGUAUGUCACAAGCGUUAUCCGGAUUUACUGGGCGUAAAGCGCGUCUAGGUGGUUAUAUAAGUCUGAUGUGAAAAUGCAGGGCUCAACUCUGUAUUGCGUUGGAAACUGUGUAACUAGAGUACUGGAGAGGUAAGCGGAACUACAAGUGUAGAGGUGAAAUUCGUAGAUAUUUGUAGGAAUGCCGAUGGGGGAAGCCCAGCUUACUGGACAGAUACUGACGCUAAAGCGCGAAAAGCGUGGGUAGCAAAACAUG